AGCAGAUGCCGGAACAAUCCUCAUCAACCGGCCGAACAAACACUGGAGCGGUUCCAGUGCCCCAACACUACGCUCCGUAGAAGCGGCAGCAGCUGUGGUCUGUGUAAAAUUGUAAAUACAAUUGGAGAUGGCAGCGAUUUGCGGAUUUGGUGGUGGUGGCGUCGAAGGAAAAGUUUUCCGGAAACCUUGAAUCCCAAAAUGCAGUUGUUUAGAGUAAUCUAAAAUUGACUGAAAGGAUGAGGCAAAACAAACGGUUGCACUACGGUGCGCAGAAUCUGAGCCUCCCAAAAUAAACUGCCGGAAUCGGUCCGCAGAUACCAGCUCCGGUGAUGUGCAGGGUCUACACCGUAUUUUGGGACAUAGUAAACAGCAAGAUCUUCAUCAACCGGAACCUGCAGGGCUGGAGUAAAUCAUUGUAAAGAAGGUCAACGUAUUUUCGUGUCGCCUACGCUUCCAAAGCAGAAAUCCUCUUAUUUCAACCAAAAUUCCCGGAAUCGCGUGGCAGGAAACGGCUCCAGUAAUGUGCUGGGACACUGUCUUACGCUGGAGUAAGAAAAGUCCGCCUGAGGAAUCUUACAAUGUGCACAGUGCCGAUACGCCAGCAACGGAGGAAACAUGCAAAUUGAAGACGGUCCCGAGCUAAAAAAAUCCGUUGGGAAGGAUUCUAAAACAUGGCCUAUGAUAGAAGAAUACUAAU